AAACUACUCUACUUCCCAUUACCCCCACUUUCCCCAUACUCCCACUAAACCUCCCCAUUACCUUCACUACAUGACCCCACCCAUUUCCACUCAACUUCCCACUACAUAACCCAUACACACUACACAACAUCAUACAAUCUAUAAGACACAAACAACACACAAGUGGGGGAAGAACGAUUACAGGGAAAGAAAAAAAAAAAAAAAAUUUUAGAGAAAAAAAAAAAAAAAAGGGGGGGGGGGGGCAAGAAACAGAAAAAGAAAACAAACGAAAAACAAGAAGAACACUAAGAAAAAAAAAGAGUUUUUCUUUCCUAAAGUUCGAGGGUUGGAGUUUGAUCUUGGUCUUUGGUUCGAGUUUACGGCGCUGAUAUUCCUAUUCAUACUUUCAUUAGUUCACCACACAGAUGCGGUAUACGCUCUCGAGCUUGAGAUACCAGAGAUGCGGCGACGCUUCUGGAAAGGAUUCUAUAGUCACCUAUGAUUCAGGAUGGGAAGGGACCAACAGUGAGGCUGAAAAGCCCUGCUACCAGUAAAGCUGUCCCUGCCUGACUCGAGUUAUCCACACGUUUUACAGCCAGUCUAGAUACCUAACUCCACCAGGUUAAACCUAGUAGAACUGGAACUUAGACAUGAUUAUCCCUAUUAGGCUCCACUUUAUUUGCAUAACGUGCAUUUUUUACUUAGUGGAGGCUCAAUAAAGUUUUGAAUGUCUAAAAGUACCCUAUUUUAAAACUAUUUAUUUUUUGUGUCACUAGUUGCAUUAACUAUUAGGCUGUUUAGAAUGUUGUUCGGCUUUGGAAUUCAUUUGCGUAAGAGAGGUUGAAAAUUGCUCUCUAAAACC